AGACCCGAAACCCGGUGAUCUAGCCAUGGGCAGGUUGAAGGUUGGGUAACACUAACUGGAGGACCGAACCGACUAAUGUUGAAAAAUUAGCGGAUGACCUGUGGCUGGGGGUGAAAGGCCAAUCAAACCGGGAGAUAGCUGGUUCUCCCCGAAAGCUAUUUAGGUAGCGCCUCGUGAAUUCAUCUCCGGGGGUAGAGCACUGUUUCGGCUAGGGGGCCAUCCCGGCUUACCAACCCGAUGCAAACUGCGAAUACCGGAGAAUGUUAUCACGGGAGACACACGGCGGGUGCUAACGUCCGUCGUGAAGAGGGAAACAACCCAGACCGCCAGCUAAGGUCCCAAAGUCAUGGUUAAGUGGGAAACGAUGUGGGAAGGCCCAGACAGCCAGGAUGUUGGCUUAGAAGCAGCCAUCAUUUAAAGAAAGCGUAAUAGCUCACUGGUCGAGUCGGCCUGCGCGGAAGAUGUAACGGGGCUAAACCAUGCACCGAAGCUGCGGCAGCGAACGUAUCACCCAAGACAACUUUGCGGAGUUGACGAUUGACGGAGCGAAGCGACGUCAAAGCGUUCAUUAAAGUCGAGUUGGCUUAGGGAUACGUUCGUUGGGUAGGGGAGCGUUCUGUAAGCCAGUGAAGGUGUGUCGUGAGGCAUGCUGGAGGUAUCAGAAGUGCGAAUGCUGACAUAAGUAACGAUAAAGCGGGUGAAAAGCCCGCUCGCCGGAAGACCAAGGGUUCCUGUCCAACGUUAAUCGGGGCAGGGUGAGUCGACCCCUAAGGCGAGGCCGAAAGGCGUAGUCGAUGGGAAACGGGUUAAUAUUCCCGUACUUGGUGUUACUGCGAAGGGGGGACGGAGAAGGCUAUGUUGGCCGGGCGACGGUUGUCCCGGUUUAAGCGUGUAGGUGUGUGUUCCAGGUAAAUCCGGUUCACUUUAACACUGAGGCGUGAUGACGAGGCACUACGGUGCUGAAGCAACAAAUGCCCUGCUUCCAGGAAAAGCCUCUAAGCAUCAGGUAACAUCAAAUCGUACCCCAAACCGACACAGGUGGUCAGGUAGAGAAUACCAAGGCGCUUGAGAGAACUCGGGUGAAGGAACUAGGCAAAAUGGUGCCGUAACUUCGGGAGAAGGCACGCUGACACGUAGGUGAAGUGAUUUACUCAUGGAGCUGAAGUCAGUCGAAGAUACCAGCUGGCUGCAACUGUUUAUUAAAAACACAGCACUGUGCAAACACGAAAGUGGACGUAUACGGUGUGACGCCUGCCCGGUGCCGGAAGGUUAAUUGAUGGGGUCAGCGCAAGCGAAGCUCCUGAUCGAAGCCCCGGUAAACGGCGGCCGUAACUAUAACGGUCCUAAGGUAGCGAAAUUCCUUGUCGGGUAAGUUCCGACCUGCACGAAUGGCGUAAUGAUGGCCAGGCUGUCUCCACCCGAGACUCAGUGAAAUUGAACUCGCUGUGAAGAUGCAGUGUACCCGCGGCAAGACGGAAAGACCCCGUGAACCUUUACUAUAGCUUGACACUGAACAUUGAGCCUUGAUGUGUAG
rnacentral:rRNA from 2 species